rnacentral:tRNA from 1 species
AAUAAGGUAAGCUAAAUUAAGCUUUUGGGUUCAUACCUCAAAGAUACGAAAGUUCUUAUUA